GACGAACGCUGGCGGCGUGCUUAACACAUGCAAGUCGAACGGAAAGGCCCUGCUUGCCGGGUACUCGAGUGGCGAACGGGUGAGUAACACGUGGGUGAUCUGCCCUGCACUUCGGGAUAAGCCUGGGAAACUGGGUCUAAUACCGGAUAGGAGCCAUUUUUAGUGUGAUGGUUGGAAAGUUUUUUCGGUGUAGGAUGAGCUCGCGGCCUAUCAGCUUGUUGGUGGGGUAAUGGCCUACCAAGGCGGCGACGGGUAGCCGGCCUGAGAGGGUGGACGGCCACAUUGGGACUGAGAUACGGCCCAGACUCCUACGGGAGCCAGCAGUGGGGAAUAUUGCACAAUGGGCGCAAGCCUGAUGCAGCGACGCCGCGUGGGGGAUGACGGCCUUCGGGUUGUAAACUCCUUUCGCUAGGGACGAAGCUUUUUGUGACGGUACCUAGAUAAGAAGCACCGGCUAACUACGUG
rnacentral:rRNA from 1 species